GGCGAACGGGUGCGUAAUGCAUGGGAAUCUGCCUAGUAGUGGGGAAUAACCCGGCGAAAGCCGGGCUAAUGCCGCAUACGACCUACGGGUGAAAGCGGGGGAUCGCAAGACCUCGCGCUAUUAGAUGAGCCCAUGUCGGAUUAGCUAGUUGGUAGGGUAACGGCCUACCAAGGCGACGAUCCGUAGCUGGUCUGAGAGGACGGCCAGCCACACUGGGACUGAGACACGGCCCAGACUCCUACGGGAGGCAGCAGUGGGGAAUUUUGGACAAUGGGGGCAACCCUGAUCCAGCGACGCCGCGUGUGUGAAGAAGGCCUGCGGGUUGUAAAGCGCUUUCGUUGGGAACGAAAUAUGCCGACCUAAUACGUCGGUAGGCUGACGUUACCCAAAUAAGAAGCACCGGCUAACUCUGUGCCAGCAGCCGCGGUAAUACAGAGGGUGCGAGCGUUAAUCGGAAUUACUGGGCGUAAAGCGCACGUAGGCGGCUAUGUAAGUCAGAUGUGAAAUCCCCGGGCUC
rnacentral:rRNA from 1 species